GACGCCGUGCUCUAGAUGGCACCAAUCUGAGAGUGCGGCUCCUGCGGUUAGGGGUGGGUCCGGUUUAGUCCUGUUCCCAGAGCGCUCAGCCCGUGGGAAGUUGGCGUUCUUCUAGGGCUGUCGGCCUGCUCUCCUGCUCUCCUGCUCUCCUCCCGCGCGCCUAGUCAACACUCUGGCCCACUGACCUGGGACAGACAGGCUUUGUCACAAGUAUCCCAGGAAACUACUCCCAUUCUCUUUACACAGGAGCCCUGAAGUCCUCCUCUAUGCCCACCUCUGUGGCAAAAGUAGCCUGUUUGCUCCCCGUCCCAUCCCACAGAGGAUCCUCCUUCUUGUCUCGCCAUGCAGUGUCUGCUUGCACUUGGACCUGGAGUCCUAAACAUACGGAUAGCGCACUGCGGGAGCCCUGGAGAAAUUGGAAGCUCUCACCCAGGAGCCUGGCACACAUAAACCCAGCGCUUGACUUGAACACAAGACGUGGGACAGACGUGGUGGCCUUGGCAAGGACCGCGUUCUGGUCAAGCACGAGGAUGGGCAUGUAGGAGGUGUGCAAUAAACGUUAAUGGUGAUGAUGAUGAUGAUGAUGUUGGUGACAGCUGCCAUCUACUAAAUUCCAUGUACUUUGUAC